rnacentral:rRNA from 1 species
GAUGAACGCUGGCGGCGUGCCUAAUACAUGCAAGUCGAGCGAACGGACGAGAAGCUUGCGCCUCUGAGGUUAGCGGCGGACGGGAGAGUAACACGUGGAUAACCUACCUAUAAGAAUGGGAUAACUUCGGGAAACCGGAGCUACGACCGGAUAAUAUUUUGAACCGCAUGGUUCAAAAGUGAAAUUCGGUCUUGCUGUGACUUAUAGAUGAAUCCGCGCUCCAUUAGCUAGUUGGUACGGUGACGGCUUACCAAGGCAACGAUGCAUAGCCGCCCUGAGAGGGUGGACGCCCACCCGGUAUCUGAGACACAGCACCGACUCCUGCGCGGGGCCGCAGUCGGGACUCCUACGCGAUGGACGAAAGCCUGACGUAGGACCGCCGCGUGAGUCCUGAACGUCCUCGGCUCGUUGAGCUCUGUUAUUCGUGAAGUUCAUAUGUGCAAGUACCUGUGCUCAUAUUGACGGUACCUAGUCAGAAAGCCACGGCUAACUCCGUG